UGGGCACAUCCGGUAAGCUAACCAAGGACAGUCCGUUUGCAAGUGACUUGAAUAAAGACGAAUGGUUAGAAGGCUAUGUGCUGGAAUAUGUUACAGGAAAAGAUGAGGAAUAUGGUGUAAUGGUAUUGUCCUUAUCGAGCCCUCCUAUACUGUACUAGUGUGUGUAAUCGAACGCACCUUUACUUUGUUGUGUGUAAUACAUCUCUAGUUGGGGCCGUGUACGAUGUAAAAUACAAAGGAAAACAGCAAAAACCAUGGUGCAUAAUCUACAGCCAGACUUACAUAAUGGUGAUCUUAAAUUUGGGGAUAUUUAGGCAAUCCCACCUGUGUAUCCAAACCACCCUGCCAUUUAUCACAGC